rnacentral:tRNA from 1 species
AAGCGGGUGAAACGUGGUCGAAGCUGACUUUUAAUCAGCGGGUCGCAGGUUCAAGUCCUGCCGGGCUCACCA